GUCUGGUGCCAGCAGCCGCGGUAAUUCCAGCUCCAAUAGCGUAUAUUAAAGUUGUUGUGGUUAAAAAGCUCGUAGUUGGAUCUCGGCGGACAGAAGUCGGUCCGAAUGCUUUCGGUACUGGCUUGUUUGUCCGUGUGUUUUGCCAGAGGCAGGCGGGUGCUCUUCGCCGAGUGUCCGUUUGUGCUGGCAGGUUUACUUUGAAAAAAUUAGAGUGCUCAAAGCAAGCUCUCACGCUUGAAUAUUCGUGCAUGGAAUAAUAGAAUAGGAUGUCGUUUCUAUUUUGUUGGUUUUCGGAAAUCGACAUAAUGAUUAAUAGGGACAGUCGGGGGCAUUCGUACUGCGGCGACAGAGA
rnacentral:rRNA from 1 species